rnacentral:rRNA from 1 species
CCUACGGGAGGCUGCAGUGGGGAAUAUUGCACAAUGGGGGAAACCCUGAUGCAGCGACGCCGCGUGAGUGAAGAAGUACCUCGGUAUGUAAAGCUCUAUCAGCAGGGAAGAAAAUGACGGUACCUGACUAAGAAGCUCCGGCUAACUACGUGCCAGCAGCCGCGGUAAUACGUAGGGGGCAAGCGUUAUCCGGAUUUACUGGGUGUAAAGGGGGCGUAGGCGGCAGAGCAAGUCUGAAGUGAAAGCCCGCGGCCCAACUGCGGGACUGCUUUGGAAACUGCGCGGCUAGAGUGCUGGAGAGGUAGGCGGAAUUCCUGGUGUAGCGGUGAAAUGCGUAGAUAUCAGGAGGAACACCGGUGGCGAAGGCGGCUUACUGGACUGUAACUGACGUUGAGGCUCGAAAGCGUGGGGAGCAAACAGGAUUAGAUACCCGUGUAGUC